AGCGAACGCUGGCGGCAGGCUUAACACAUGCAAGUCGAACGGGCGUAGCAAUACGUCAGUGGCAGACGGGUGAGUAACGCGUGGGAACGUACCUUUUGGUCGGAACAACCCAGGGAAACUUGGGCUAAUACCGGAUAAGCCCUUACGGGGAAAGAUUUAUCGCCGAAAGAUCGGCCCGCGUCUGAUUAGCUAGUUGGUGUGGUAACGGCGCACCAAGGCGACGAUCAGUAGCUGGUCUGAGAGGAUGAUCAGCCACAUUGGGACUGAGACACGGCCCAAACUCCUACGGGAGGCAGCAGUGGGGAAUAUUGGACAAUGGGCGCAAGCCUGAUCCAGCCAUGCCGCGUGAGUGAUGAAGGCCCUAGGGUUGUAAAGCUCUUUUGUGCGGGAAGAUAAUGACGGUACCGCAAGAAUAAGCCCCGGCUAACUUCGU
rnacentral:rRNA from 1 species